CUAGCAUAUCAAUAAGCGGAGGAAAAGAAACUAACAAGGAUUCCCCUAGUAACUGCGAGUGAAGCGGGAAAAGCUCAAAUUUAAAAUCUGGCGGUCUCUGGCCGUCCGAGUUGUAAUCUAGAGAAGUAAUGCCCGUGCUGGACCGUGUAUAAGUCUCCUGGGAUGGGGCGUCAUAGAGGGUGAGAAUCCCGUCUUUGACACGGACUACCAGUGCAUUGUGGUAUGCUCUCAAAGAGUCGAGUUGUUUGGGAAUGCAGCUCAAAAUGGGUGGUAAAUUCCAUCUAAAGCUAAAUAUUGGCGAGAGACCGAUAGCGAACAAGUACCGUGAGGGAAAGAUGAAAAGAACUUUGGAAAGAGAGUUAAACAGUACGUGAAAUUGCUGAAAGGGAAACGCUUGAAGUCAGUCGCGUUGGCCGGGGAUCAGCCUUGCUUUUGCAUGGUGUACUUUCUGGUUGACGGGUCAGCAUCAAUUUUGACCGCUGGAAAAAGACCUGGGGAAUGUGGCAGCUUCGGCUGUGUUAUAGCCCCUAGUCGCAUACAGUGGUUGGGAUUGAGGAACUCAGCACGCCGCAAGGCCGGGUUUCGACCACGUUCGUGCUUAGGAUGCUGGCAUAAUGGCUUUAAGCGACCCGUCUUGAAACACGGACCAAGGAGUCUAACAUGCCUGCGAGUAUUUGGGUGGAAAACCCAAGUGCGUAAUGAAAGUGAAAGUUGAGAUCCCUGUCGUGGGGAGCAUCGACGCCCGGACCAGAACUUUUGGGACGGAUCCGCGGUGGAGCAUGUAUGUUGGGACCCGAAAGAUGGUGAACUAUGCCUGAAUAGGGUGAAGCCAGAGGAAACUCUGGUGGAGGCUCGUAGCGAUUCUGACGUGCAAAUCGAUCGUCAAAUUUGGGUAUAGGGGCGAAAGACUAAUCGAACCAUCUAGUAGCUGGUUCCUGCCGAAUUUUCCCUCAGGAA
rnacentral:rRNA from 1 species